GAUGAACGCUGGCGGCGUGCCUAAUACAUGCAAGUAGAACGCUGAAGGAAGGAGCUUGCUCUUUCCGGAUGAGUUGCGAACGGGUGAGUAACGCGUAGGUAACCUGCCUGGUAGCGGGGGAUAACUAUUGGAAACGAUAGCUAAUACCGCAUAACAGUAGAUGUUGCAUGAUAUCUACUUAAAAGGUGCAAUUCCCCACUACCAGAUGGACCUGCGUUGUAUUAGCUAGUUGGUGAGGUAACGGCUCACCAAGGCGACGAUACAUAGCCGACCUGAGAGGGUGAUCGGCCACACUGGGACUGAGACACGGCCCAGACUCCUACGGGAGGCAGCAGUAGGGAAUCUUCGGCAAUGGACGGAAGUCUGACCGAGCAACGCCGCGUGAGUGAAGAAGGUUUUCGAAUCGUAAAGCUCUGUUGUAAGAGAAGAACGAGUGUGAGAGUGGAAAGUUCACACUGUGACGGUAUCUUACCAGAAAGGGACGGCUAACUACGUG
rnacentral:rRNA from 1 species